rnacentral:rRNA from 1 species
AUUGAACGCUGGCGGCAGGCCUAACACAUGCAAGUCGAGCGGAUGAAGGGAGCUUGCUCCUGGAUUCAGCGGCGGACGGGUGAGUAAUGCCUAGGAAUCUGCCUGGUAGUGGGGGAUAACGUCCGGAAACGGGCGCUAAUACCGCAUACGUCCUGAGGGAGAAAGUGGGGGAUCUUCGGACCUCACGCUAUCAGAUGAGCCUAGGUCGGAUUAGCUAGUUGGUGGGGUAAAGGCCUACCAAGGCGACCAUCCGUAACUGGUCUGAGAGGAUGAUCAGUCACACUGGACCUAGGACACGGUCCAGACACCUACAGGAGGCAGCAGUGCGGAAUAUUGGACAAAGGGCGAAAGCCUGAUCCAACCAUGCCGCGUGUGUGAAGAAGGUCUUCGGAUAGUAGAGCACUUUAAGUGGGGAGGAAGGUCAGUAAGUUAAUACCUUGCUGUUUUGACGUUACCAACAGAAUAAGCACCGGCUAACUUCGUG